rnacentral:RNase_P_RNA from 2 species
AAACAGGCAGAAUGUGGCUGCCCGCCACGGAUUUAGUGGCGGGAGGAAAGUCCGGGCUCCAGAGGAUAACGUAACGGGUAAUUUCCGUCCUGUAUAUGUGAUGUAUACAGAGGAUUUCCGCCAGAAAUUGGCGGAUCCGCCAUAAUUUGUGGCGGAAGAGCCACAGAGACGAGUAGUUUCGCAGCUUAGAAGGUUGCGGGACGAGGUGAAACGCGGCAAUCUCUACGUGGAGCAAGGUAGAAUAGGAGAUGAGCGCUGAUCCAGCGCGUUUUCCGUUUUAAGCGGGAAGCAAUCUCGGGUAAACUGCUAAAGUUACCGCGGUAACGCGGGAAUUGAGAGGAAUAGCCACUAAUCGAUGCGCGAAUUCGCAUCAAGACAGAACCCGGCUUAUUCUGCCUGUUUUAAA